AACUGGAGGAAGAAACCGCUGGCCCUUUCCAGACCCGGUGCAGAGUAGCGCUGUUCAGGUGAAGUCAGGCUACUGAGCCGGGUCUGGUUUCCUUGGUGACCCACAAGGUUCAGUUCUAUCUGAAAUUGCUAAGGCGGAGAAAAACCUGAUAGUUGAGCCGUUUUCCUUGGGGAGGAACAGCUUUCUGAGCUCCAUGGAGGCUGAGGGUAUGUCUCCCUGAUUGGCUGGGGCUGCUUCUCUCAGAGGGGGUUGGGGAAGAGUUGAGUGACAUCUCCUGAAUGCUCCAAGAGUCCCGCAACCCAGCCCGGCAAGUCUGUCCUCUGCCAGCCCCAGGUUCUAAAGAUUUUCCAGGUUCCGUGUGUUUGUGUGACAAGCAUUUCCUGGCUGUACCAUCUCCCCAGCCCCGGGCUCUGUGAGACUAACAUGCCAGCAUCAGGACCAGAAUGGAAACAUCACAGCAGCCUGUGCCUCCGGUCUCCUGGGAGAUAACCGGAGAAUGAAAAUUGAACAAAUUCCAGAUUCAUACUUGGAAAAAAGAGAAUUCUGAGAUGUGCCCAGACAGCCCGAUGUCCACUUUCUGGCUACUGGCAGCUUCUCUACUCAGUGACUGCCGCGGCAGUUUGCAGCUUCCUUGUUAAACUGCCUACUGACCACACUGACCUAAAAGAGUGAUCUCAGCGCUCCUUUAUACUCAAAAAAAAAAAAAAAAAAAAAAAAAAAAUGUGAAGACUCUAAAG